rnacentral:misc_RNA from 1 species
GGAAGCUAUAACCAUGCUUGAACCUGUUAUGCUAACUCUGAUGAUGGGGGCGAAUUCCAUUGUUUUGGACUCAGAUUCUGCCAUUCUGGUUUCGGCACUGCAGCAUCCUCAUCAAAGCAGUGUUUAGGAAAUUCAGGCAUCAGUUCUAGCUAUUUUGGAUCUUCUUCCCCAUUUCUUGCAUGUUUCCUUUGCCCUUGUUAAUAGAUCUAGUAUAU